rnacentral:rRNA from 1 species
GACGAACGCUGGCGGCGUGCUUAACACAUGCAAGUCGAACGGAAAGGCCCUGCUUUUGUGGUGUGCUCGAGUGGCGAACGGGUGAGUAACACGUGAGUAACCUGCCCUUGACUUUGGGGUAACUUCAGGAAACUGGGGCUAAUACCGUAUAGGAGCUCCUGCUGCAUGGUGGGGGUUGGAAAGUUUCGGCGGUUGGGGAUGGACGCGCGGCUUAUCAGCUUGUUGGUGGGGUAGUGGCUUACCAAGGCAUUGACGGGUAGCCGGCCUGAGAGGGUGACCGGCGACAUUGGGACUGAGAUACGGACCAGACUGCUACGGGAGGCAGCAGUGGGGAGUAUGGCACAAUGGGCGGAAGCCUGAUGCAGCAACGCCGCGUGCGGGAUGACGGCCUUCGGGGUGUAAACCGCUGUCGCUUGUGACGAAGCGGGAGUGACGGUAAUGGGUAAAGAAGCACCGGCUAACUACGUG